AAAAAAUGUGCGCCAUUUCUAUUGAUCAUUUUCUUUCAAUUCACCUUUAAAUAACUAUUGAGAGUGCAUGUAUGUGGACCACCGGUGGGAGGCGCUGUAUUUAAUUGUUGGAGUCAAUGAUCUCGAGGUCCAACCGUGACAACAUCUAGAUACCUGCAGCAGCCGUCCUACUGACUUAAACAUUAAUAGCCGACAAAUUGAACUGUGUCAUCUUGGAAGCGUGUGUCAACAGAACUCUAUCCAACCACCAGCCGGUGACAUUGCCAGAAUUAAAACUGCAUUGGGCCAUU